UACAGAGGUCUCAAGCGUUGUUCGGAAUCACUGGGCGUAAAGGGUGCGUAGGCCGCACGGUAAGUCAGAGGUGAAAUCCCGGAGCUCAACUUCGGAAUUGCCUCCGAUACUGCCGUGCUUGAGGACUGGAGAGGAGAUUGGAAUUCACAGUGGAGCAGUGAAAUGCGUAGAUAUUGUGAGGAACACUAGUGGCGAAGGCGAAUCUCUGGACAGUACCUGACGCUGAGGCACGAAGGCCAGGGGAGCAAACGGG
rnacentral:rRNA from 1 species